GGCCAGACUCCUACGGGAGGCAGCAGUGAGGAAUAUUGGUCAAUGGGCGCGAGCCUGAACCAGCCAAGUCGCGUGAGGGAUGACGGCCCUACGGGUUGUAAACCUCUUUUGCCGGGGAGCAACGGGCGCCACGUGUGGCGCCACUGAGAGUACCCGGAGAAAAAGCAUCGGCUAACUCCGUGCCAGCAGCCGCGGUAAUACGGAGGAUUCAAGCGUUAUCCGGAUUUAUUGGGUUUAAAGGGUGCGUAGGCGGUCGGAUAAGUUAGAGGUGAAAUCCCGAGGCUCAACUUCGGAAUUGCCUCUGAUACUGUUCGGCUAGAGAGUAGUUGCGGUAGGCGGAAUGUAUGGUGUAGCGGUGAAAUGCUUAGAGAUCAUACAGAACACCGAUUGCGAAGGCAGCUUACCAAGCUACUUCUGACGUUGAGGCACGAAAGCGUGGGGAGCAAACAGGAUUAGAUACCCGCGUAUG
rnacentral:rRNA from 1 species